GGUGCUGCGGCUCAGUGGCAGAGGGUCUGCUUUCCAUGGAGAACAUCCCAGGUUCAAUCCCUGCCAUCUCUA
rnacentral:tRNA from 1 species